rnacentral:rRNA from 1 species
UGCGGAGGGGGCUAGCGUUGUUCGGAAUUACUGGGCGUAAAGCGCGCGUAGGCGGACCUGCAAGUCGGGGGUGAAAGCCCGAGGCUCAACCUCGGAACUGCCUUCGAUACUGCGGGUCUCGAGUCCGGGAGAGGUGAGUGGAAUUCCUAGUGUAGAGGUGAAAUUCGUAGAUAUUAGGAAGAACACCAGUGGCGAAGGCGGCUCACUGGCCCGGUACUGACGCUGAGGCGC